UACCAGCACCCCGAGUGGUCGGGACGUUUAUUGGGCCUAAAGCAUCCGUAGCCGGUUCUACAAGUCUUCCGUUAAAUCCACCUGCUUAACAGAUGGGCUGCGGAAGAUACUAUAGAGCUAGGAGGCGGGAGAGGCAAGCGGUACUCGAUGGGUAGGGGUAAAAUCCGUUGAUCCAUUGAAGACCACCAGUGGCGAAGGCGGCUUACUGGUCCGGUUCUGACGCUGAGGCGCGAAAGCGUGGGGAGCAAACAGG
rnacentral:rRNA from 1 species